rnacentral:rRNA from 1 species
CACGUAGGGCGCAGGCGUUGUCCGGAAUUAUUGGGCGUAAAGAGCUCGUAGGCGGACUGUCACGUCUGCUGUGAAAAGCUGGGGCUUAACCCUGGCCUUGCAGUGGAUACGGGCAGACUAGAGGUAGGUAGGGGAGAAUGGAAUUCCCGGUGUAGCGGUGAAAUGCGCAGAUAUCGGGAGGAACACCGGUGGCGAAGGCGGUUCUCUGGGCCUUACCUGACGCUGAGGAGCGAAAGCGUGGGGAGCGAACAGG